rnacentral:tRNA from 1 species
GCGGAGGUAGCCAAGUCUGGUCAACGGCGCUAGAUUCAGGGUCUAGUCUCGCAGGGGUUCCGGGGUUCGAAUCCUCGCCUCCGCA